rnacentral:rRNA from 1 species
CCGCCGGCGACCGGCGCACGGGUGAGUAACACGUAUGCAACCUGGCCGUGACAGAUGGAUAACCGGGAGAAAUCCCGCCUAAUACAACAUAAUGCCGGGAGGGGACAUCCCCUGCCGGCCAAAGGGGGCGACCCCGGUCACGGAUGGGCAUGCGGCGCAUUAGGUAGUUGGUGGGGCAACGGCCCACCAAGCCGACGAUGCGUAGGGGUUCUGAGAGGAAGGUCCCCCACACUGGUACUGAGACACGGACCAGACUCCUACGGGAGGCAGCAG